GGGCGGGCUUCGUGGGGCUGCGGAGCUCGCGUGGAAAUUACUACCGGGCUUACAGCAGCACCCUCGGGAUGGGAGAGGAUGUGUGCUGUGGCACGCACUGACUACUUCGGGCACGGUGAAGGAGCAGUGUUGAAAAUUGCAGUGAAGUCGUGCCAUCAACCAAACUGGCUUCCUUCUUAUACCAUCUGGUCUAGGAAGCUCUGCAUUAGGCUGACUGAUUUACCUGUUCUGGAUGUUCCAUACAAGUGGAACCUUACAGUACCUGCCCUUCUGUGUCUGGCUUCUUUCGCUGUAGCAUAAUGUGUUUGAGGGUCGACCAUGUCAUAGCAGGUGUCAGUUCUUCAUUCCUUUUUAUGGCUGAGUAAUAUUCCAUUGUGUAGAUAAACCGCAUUGAUUACCCAUUUAUCUGCUGGUACAUGUUUGAGUUUUUCCACCCAAAUAUGCUUGGCUAUUGGGAAUAGUGCUGCUGCAGACAUUUGUGUACGAUGGGUUGUUUCAACACCUGUUAUCUAUUCUUUGAGGCAUACGAGUGUACCUUGGGGGCAUUGCAGUUUGGGUUCCAGACCAGCAAGUAUUGCAAUAAAGCCAGUCAAAUGAA